CGGAAUUCAGAUUGUGAUCUGUGGGCUGUGUUCAUUCAUAACUGUAGUGGAUUUUUAUUUCGUGAGAGUUGUGUUGAUUCGACAUUUCGUUCAGUUUAGUCUAAUGUGUUUAAAUUAGCGUAUCAUUUGAUCAAAAUAAUUCUUGUUUGAAAAUUAAACGUAAAUUUUUGGAAAAUUCCAAUGUCAUCCAAGUUCUUCAAGUGUCUCUGCAAAGGAAAGAGUUACAUCAAAUCGAAAAAGUGUACUUUUUCGUGGACAAUCGACCAAUAUUCGCGCCUCAUUGAGCGAGGGGAACAAGAAUUUAAAUCUUCUACAUUCUCCACUGUUAAAGAUCGCUUAAAAUGGCGUUUAGGUCAUAAAUACUCUCAUUACUGUCGGUUUUGUUCCGAGUGUCGCGAAUGCGUUUUAUUCUGCUUAUAUCCCGAAUCCAAAACCGACCUCAAAAAGUACUGCCCAAUAUCGGGAAAUGUAGAAAUAUCUGUGAUGACUCACGACCGAGGAGAAGUAAUAAUUUCGAGAAAAAUUCCCUUAAGUAUUGACUAUACUGCGGGGCGAAGAGUUUGCGCAUUAUUCUCCAUAUCUCUCGAUGAAAUGAAGACGUACAUAUUUCAAGACAAAUUGACAAUAGUUUGCAAACUGACGUAUGUAAAAAAUAAGGAUAUGAGUUCUAGGCUAGUGAAGUUGGCAGGAAAAAUGAGGUAGGUAAUUUGGAAAACUUCGGUGGAAAGCUGAAUUUUGGUAUACUGGUCCAUUUUUAUGUCCCAAUUGAGGAUUUGAGGUGGUCCCCCUAAAUUGUGUAUCCUAGCCUCCGAAAAAUGGACCAGUACUUAUACCAAAAUUUAGCUUUCCACCAAAGUUUUUCAAAUGAAAUGCCAAUUCUCGUGGACUAUUCGACAAAUCUGCAAGUCUCAGAAUCUCGCUUGUCAAACGACCUCGAACGAUUGUUCAACGAUGACUAUUUCAAAGACGUGACAUUUUCAGAUAAAGGCAAAAAGUACACGGUCAUAAAACAAUUCUAGCUGCUCGUAGUCGUAGUUCGGUUUUUAAUAUGUACAUACCUACUGAUUGUAUGUAUUAUUUGUGUGUUAUUCUGUGUUAUUAUGAUAAUGAUGAUGAUUUAAGAAUUUUUUCCUUGUACACAUCUAAUCAUAAUAAUUUUCUUGAUGACAUUUUGAGCUAUUUUUGCAAU